rnacentral:rRNA from 1 species
GACGGAGGAUGCAAGUGUUAUCCGGAAUCACUGGGCGUAAAGCGUCUGUAGGUGGUUUAAAAAGUCUACUGUUAAAAAUUGAAGCUUAACUUCAAAGAUGCCGUAGAAACUUUUAAACUUGAGGAUGGUAGGGGUAGAGGGAAUUUCCAGUGGAGCGGUGAAAUGCGUAGAUCUUGGAAAGACCACCAAUGGCGAAGGCACUCUACUGGGCCAUGACAUGCACUAAGAGACGAAAGCUAGGGGAGCAAAUGGG